rnacentral:tRNA from 1 species
GGAGAGGUGGCAGAGUGGUCGAAUGCGGCGGUCUCGAAAACCGUUGAUGGUGCAAGCCAUCCGUGGGUUCGAAUCCCACCCUCUCCGCCA